AUCAGAUGAGCCUAGGUCGGAUUAGCUAGUUGGUGAGGUAAUGGCCCACCAAGGCGACGAUCCGUAACUGGUCUGAGAGGAUGAUCCAGUCACACUGGAACUGAGACACGGUCCAGACUCCUACGGGAGGCAGCAGUGGGGAAUAUUGGACAAUGGGCGAAAGCCUGAUCCAGCCAUGCCGCGUGUGUGAAGAAGGUCUUCGGAUUGUAAAGCACUUUAAGUUGGGAGGAAGGGCAGUUACCUAAUACGUGAUUG
rnacentral:rRNA from 1 species